rnacentral:rRNA from 1 species
AGGUAGCGAAAUUCCUUGUCGGGUAAGUUCCGACCUGCACGAAUGGCGUAACGACUUCCCCACUGUCUCGACCAGGAGCUCGGCGAAAUUGCAGUACGAGUAAAGAUGCUCGUUAAGCGCAGAAGGACGAAAAGACCCCGGGACCUUUACUAUACCUUGGUAUUGGCAUUCGGUGUGGAUUGUGUAGCAUAGGCGGAAGGCUUCGAAGCCACGGCGCCAGCCGCGGUGGAGCCGCAAGGUGAAAUACCGCUCUGUUCGCAUUGGAUGUCUAACCUCGACCAGUCAUCCUGGUCAGGGACAGUGCCUGGCGGGUAGUUUAACUGGGGCGGUUGCCUCCCAAAGAGUAACGGAGGCGCUCAAAGGUUCCCUCAGCCCGGUUGGCAAUCGGGUGGCGAGUGUAAGUGCACAAGGGAGCUUGACUGCGAGACUGACGGGUCGAGCAGGGACGAAAGUCGGAACUAGUGAUCCGGUGCCGGUGUACGGACGCGGCAUCGCUCAACGGAUAAAAGGUACCCCGGGGAUAACAGGCUGAUCAUUCCCAAGAGUCCAUAUCGACGGGAUGGUUUGGCACCUCGAUGUCGGCUCGUCGCAUCCUGGGGCUGGAGCAGGUCCCAAGGGUUCGGCUGUUCGCCGAUUAAAGCGGCACGCGAGCUGGGUUCAGAACGUCGUGAGACAGUUUGGUCUCUAUCCUCUGCGCUCGUCGGAAUGUUGAGGAGGCCUGCCCAUAGUACGAGAGGACCUGGGUGGACGAACCUCUGGUAUGCCGGUUGUCACGCCAGUGGCACGGCCGGUUGGCUACGUUCGGAAGGGAUAACCGCUGAAAGCAUCUAAGCGGGAAGCCUGCUCCAAGAUAAGCAUUCCAUAGGACUACGGGUCCUUGAAGUCCCCAUGCAGAACACGUGGUUGAUAGGCCGGACGUGGAAGCCCCGCGAGGGGUGGAGCCGACCGGUACUAACGGACGAAAGGCAACACAAU